rnacentral:rRNA from 1 species
CCUACGGGGGACAGCAGUGAGGAAUUUUGGUCAAUGGCCGAGAGGCUGAACCAGCCAAUUCGCGUGAGGGAAGACUGUCCUAAGGUUUGUAAACCUCUUUUGUCGGGGCGCAAAAUGGCUCUGCGGUGUCGUAUUGCGAGUACCCGAAGAAAAAGCAUAGGCUAACUCCGUGCCAGCACCCGCGGUAAUACGGAGGAUGCGAGCGUUCUCCGGAUUUAUUGGGUUAAAGGGGUGCGCAGGCGGCGUGUCAAGCGAGCGGUAAAAUAGCGGGGCUCAACCCCGUCAAGCCGUUUGAACUGGCGGGCUAGAGUGCAGGCGAGGGAGGCGGAAUUCGUAGUGUAGCGGUGAAAUGCAUAGAUAUCACGAAGAACUCCGAUUGCGAAGGCAGCUUACCAGGCUGCGACUGACGCUCAGGCACGAAAGUGUGGGUAGCGAACAGGAUUAGAUACCCCAGUAGUC